rnacentral:lncRNA from 1 species
UGGGGAAGUCGACUUUGCCCAAUAUUCAAUUGUUUAUUAUUAUUAUUAUUAUUGUGUAUAUUGAUAUGAUAUGAAUGCAGAAAGGUCCUAAAUCUUACUAGAAUGUAUGCAGAUUGUGUAAAAUUGAGCAACAUGACACCUUGUUUAAGCACAAUGUUGUUGGGCGGGGUAACUCACCUCUAAAGUCAAGUCAGUCAAGUUUUCACUCACAGUUGAACAGUCACACGUCGAGCUUUGUGUCAGUCUAUGCUUCGUUCCCACAGUUAUAGGACUGGCUGGCUGGCGGAAUGACGUAACCUGAAUUCCUAUGGUUGGCACUGGCCGUCUGGAAUUCCUCAUAUGGAAAUGUAUCUCCCCCUCUCCCACAUUUAAUGUGUGUUAAUGUAUUAUCUUUAUGUUCGAUGAUACCGCUUUUCAAAAGCACGUUAAAGUCAGCUGGCGUCGAGACGGAAUCGAAUUGUAUGUCUGUAUCUUUCCAUUGGUCGCAGCCAGAUCUCUGACGCGUUAUUACGCGUGGCUUGCAAGCAGCACAACUUUGCGUAACAGUAGUCUAUGACAUUAUAUUACUGUGGACUAUUAUCAGGUGAAGAGUGUGUAUUUCCUAUGUAAUGGAUAUUACCAUCGGAACGGAUCUGAGUGACAUAGAGAGAAAGAUGGCUCGGAAGAUUCCAGAGAGUCUGUUUCCUUUUGCCACGGAUGGACGGAUGAUGAAAGAUAAUACAGAUGGUAGAGACGGGUGGGACCUGCCUGGCCAUGUACAAGACAUGUCCUACACCGUGAGUCUGCAGAGCAACAUGCGACUCCUAAGACAAGAAAUGUCACACCUGCGGGGCAUGGACGUCCGUCUGAUGUGCCAGCUCCUGUCGAUCAACGACGGCAUCGAGGCGAUGCGCUGGGACCUGGAGGUGUAGCUGAGGUUGGGGAUGGCAGCGGUGACUAGCCAGGAGAGUAGCCUGGCCGAGAGCCAGGAUGCACCCCGGCGAAGCAGCGUGUCCAGUCUACACUAUGGGAGAGAUGGUUUUGAUGUGAUGACUGUGGGGAGUUAUCUGGGUAGCUCGGCGGAAGACCCAGCGGCGAUACCGGCCCUCUCUCGCCCGCUGACCGAGUAGUUGGAGAAGGAGGCUUGGAGGGAAAGCUACUGUACAUAUCCAGACUAUUAUUGCAGACCAGCUCUAACAAACCUGAUUCAGCUAUACUGGCCUAAAAUCAAGAUGUGAUGAUUAGUUGAUUAGUUAAAUCAGGUGUGUUGGGCUGCCUGGAACAAAAGCAUGCCCACAUUGUAACCUACCUGUACUGUACCUGUCCAGGAACACUGUAUCCAGAGGGUUUCAGAGGACAACGUUAGUGGGAGAGAGUCCAGGAACACUGUAUCCAGAGGGUUUCAGAGGACAACGUUAGUGGGAGAGAGUCCAGGAACACUGUAUCCAGAGGGUUUCAGAGGACAACGUUAGUGGGAGAGAGUCCAGGACAAUGUGAGAGCGAAAUUACAAGAUGAUGUUAUAAUACUGUUGUAGGCUUCACAACAGAAUUAAAUGAUUGUUUUUCUGGAAUAGAAUAGGGGUUUUAGAACACUCACAUCUGUGGUCUUCUGAGUUGGGCCCUGGGGGAGAUAAGGUCUGAGACAGGAUGUGUGGGGUACUGUCUGGAUCCAUUGUACGUCCUCUCUGAUGUUGCACCUAUCCUGGGAUAGUGUAUGACCCAGAGGCUCACUCCCCUCAGUCUGCUCGUCUAGGCGAGUGCUCAAGGACAUGGGUUUUACUUGAGAUGGGGGUAUCUGGAGCUGACAAUUGAUUUAUGCCAUAGAAUGAGUUAGUGUUGCUGUACUAUGAAGUACCAGGUAUGAGAUCUUAGGGGCCAAACUCUGUACAAUAAGAACAGUUUUCAUAGCAAAUGGGUCACAAGGUGGUGAGACUUUUUGUAAAAAAAUGUUACCCCUUUUUUCUUCCCAAUUUCAUGGUAUCCAAUUGGUAGUAGUUACAGUCUUGUCUCAUCACUGCGCCCAGCCCGCCACAAGAGUCACUAGUGCGCGAUGAGACAAGGAUAUGCCUGCCGGCCAAAUCCUCCCUAACCCGGACGACGCUGGGCCAAUUGUGCGUCGCCCCAUGGUCCUCCCGGUCGCGGCCGGCUGCGACAGAGCCUGGGAGGCCUACAAGGUGGUGAGACUUGAUAAAUGAGAAAGGAGUAUCACCCAUCUGGCUGGGUGAUACUCCUCAUUUAUCAUCACCCAUCUGGCUGGGUGAUACUCCUCAUUUAUCAUCACCCAUCUGGCUGGGUGAUACUCCUUUCUCAUUAUUCAUCACCCAUCUGGCUGGGUGAUACUCCUUUCUCAUUAAUCAUCACCCAUCUGGCUGGGUGAUACUCCUUUCUCAUUAAUCAUCACCCAUCUGGCUGGGUGAUACUCCUUUCUCAUUAAUCAUCACCCAUCUGGCUGGGUGAUACUCCUUUCUCAUUAAUCAUCACCCAUCUGGCUGGGUGAUACUCCUUUCUCAUUAAUCAUCACCCAUCUGGCUGGGUGAUACUCCUUUCUCAUUUAUCAUCACCCAUCUGGCUGGGUGAUACUCCUUUCUCAUUAAUCAUCACCCAUCUGGCUGGGUGAUACUCCUUUCUCAUUUAUCAUCACCCAUCUGGCUGGGUGAUACUCCUUUCUCAUUAUUCAUCACCCAUCGGGCUGGGUGAUACUCCUUUCUCAUUAAUCAUCACCCAUCUGGCUGGGUGAUACUCCUUUCUCAUUUAUCAGUGAUACUCCUUUCUCAUUUAUCAUCACCCAUCUGGCUGGGUGAUACUCCUUUCUCAUUAUUCAUCACCCAUCUGGCUGGGUGAUACUCCUUUCUCAUUUAUCAUCACCCAUCUGGCUGGGUGAUACUCCUUUCUCAUUAUUCAUCACCCAUCUGGCUGGGUGAUACUCCUUUCUCAUUUAUCAGUGAUACUCCUUUCUCAUUUAUCAUCACCCAUCUGGCUGGGUGAUACUCCUUUCUCAUGUAUCAAGUCUCACCACCUUGUGACCCGUUCCACACAUCUGUUGUUUGUCAUGUAGACUAAGGGGGUGUAUCUUUACUAUAAAAGGUGUUUGUCGGGGCUCUCAACGAAUCAUCUAAAGGUGGUUCGUCGACCAUCUUCAUUAUUGCAAUAAUUAAUCAAUGUUAUUAAUACGUUUUGAAUAAAGUAAAUAUCCUGAUUGGUGAUU